AUGUAGCGCGAUCGAAAGCGCGUUGGAUUUCUAAUCCAAAGGUCGUGGGUUUAAAUCUCACGAGGAAUG